UUUUAAAUGUUAAUAUUUUACUAAAUUAUUAAUAGUUAUGUUCUUUAAAGUUAAAGAUUUUGGCGGUAUUUUAGUCUAUUCAGAGGAACCUGUUCUAUAAUCGAUAAUCCACGAUAAAAAUUACCAUAAUUUUUAAUUUGUAUAUCGUCGUAGUUUGAAUAUUUUAUAAGAAUUUAAAUAUUCAUAAUUUUUUAUAGGAAAAGAAAUCAGAUCAAGGUGUAGUUUAUAUUAUGGUAGAAAUGGGUUACAAUAAAUUUAUUUAUGGAUAAAUAAUUUAAAAUUAUUUUGAAAAUGGAUUUGAUAGUAAUUUUAUUAAUUUAAUUAAAAUGAUUAAAGCUCUAAAAUAUGC
rnacentral:rRNA from 1 species